CUCAGGGGUGAGAGAGUGGGGAGCGCACACGAUUAUAUAUACUGGUAGUCCACACAGUAAACGCUGUCUACUAGCUGUUUGUGGAUUUAAUCCGUGAGUAGCGAAGCUAACGCGAUAAGUAGACCGCCUGGGGAGUACGGCCGCAAGGUUAAAACUCAAAUGAAUUGACGGGGGCCCGCACAAGCGGUGGAGCAUGUGGUUUAAUUCGAUGCAACGCAGAAGAACCUUACCUACUCUUGACAUACUAGAAACUUUCAGAGAUGAAAUGGUGCCUUACGGAAUCUGUAR
rnacentral:rRNA from 1 species